GUUCGCCGGUUCGCGCGCGUCCUAUAAUAUUUAUUCGUACGUAGGUGCCGCAACAGCGACAUUAUAAAAGUUCCGAUUUCGCGCGCUGAGUUUUCCGUUUGCACCCAUAUUCCGUUCGCGGACGCGCGUCUAUUUUUUAAAAAUUUUUUUUUUUCCCGUCGUCACGUUGUAUCGAACAACGACGAUAACAAUAAUACCCGCCGCGGUACCCGGGGUACGCCGCAUUUUGUUAUUGCUAUGCUGCAGAGUACGCCAACAACGGUGUCGUAUAGGAGGUAGGUGUCGCCUACACCAAUCCGCGAAAUCGCUCGGUACCGACGUCGUUAUUUUUUUGUCAACUAAGGGUGUAUUUUUUGAACGGUUUUUUUGUCGCGAUAUUUUCGAAUAAUUCGUAUUUUUAAUCGCGCUCGUUUACCGUUUUCGCGCCCGUUUCCAUCGCAACGGAACCAGCAAAUCGUGGUCGAUAUGACGCGGUAAGUGUACCUACGUCUACGCGAUUUGUGUUUUUGUUUAUCUAUUUGUUUUUUUUCCCGCCGAACACACGGGCGACUAGUAAAGUUAUAAUAUUAUCUUUUCGUGUGCUACACCGACAUCGCGAUACGAUUAGGUAUAUUUAAUUAUUGAAAUCCUUUUUAGACCCGAGAGCUAAGUGGUUGGUUUUUACUAGGUGUAUGUGUUUUUUUUUUUUUUUGUGUACAACUUUUACAACAGAAAUCUUGUUCUAAUCAAAAACUUUAUAGGCAUUUUCUUAUAGUAUUUCUGAUCUAGUUGGUGCAUUUUUAGAUUUUUUUUUAGAUUUUCUUCGCAUUUUUUUUCAAUAGUUAAGAAAAACUGGCAAUUUUAUUUAAAAUUUUUGUCGAUUUCUGGGUUAUUUUGGUAACAGUGGAAACUCUGCUCAGAAUAGUUUUUCGUUGGUAAUGGUUUAUCGUUCCGUACAAAUAUAAAUUAAAUUACUCUCUAUAUCCUCCCUUCCAAAUUCCCCCCUAACACACACACACACACAUUUUUAUUAUUAAUUUUGGUUAUUUGAACUACCAAUAAUAGUUAACCUAUAGACUAUAGUUCAUGCACGAAUCUAUAGUAACGUAAAUAGAAGUAAAACAAAGAAUUGUUGGUAUGCAUUGCCUGCAGCUUUUUAUGUAACUUUCUUAUUAACAAGAAAAGAAAAAAACGAAUUUAUUUAGUAUAGAUAUUAAAAUUAUAGGUAAUUGGUCGUACAGUGGUGUAGUUAUGAUUUUGUUCUGUGGAGGUGAGGGAUGGAUAAUUUGUUAAGUCGACUUCGUAUAAGCACCCUUCCAUACUUUUCAUACACAGAUCCAUGUUUUCAAUUUUAAGUGUAAAAACGAAGAAGCUAUUACCUGAGAUGUCUUUUUUUUAUGGAAAGCACUUAUUGGGUGAGUAAAAAUCGUGGUAAAAAUGAUUUUGUACUAUACUUAUAGAUUUUUCGUCUGGUUUUAAAUGGCAGUUUUUCCAAAUUCCAAAAAAUUGCACUUAUUUGUAUUUUUUAAACAUUUUUUGACGAGUGAAUAUUUCCGUUUGUUCACGCAGUACCUUAAAAGAUGUAGAUUUUUGUCUCAGUGAUACUUUAUUUGAAAUACUUUUUUAAAUUUUCAACAAUUCACUCCCUAGUUUCUUUUUUUUUCAUUUUUUUCUUGGAAAAUAUAUUAUUAGUUAUUAAAAAUAAUACGUUCGAUUAAUCGUAUCGUACCUCAAAAGAUUAAAAGAUGAGGAUUUUUUGUCCGAAGGUAUACUUUAUUUGAAAACAAUUUCUAUAUUCCCAACAGAUUUAAAUGCAAUUUAAAAAAAAACAAAUGUCGAUACAUAGGUUUUAGAUUUGUUGAUUUUUGGGAGCUACCUUGACUACUAGGGAAAAAUAUUACUAAUAUUUCGCCACUCAAAAUCGAUUUUUGAUAGCAUAUAGCAUAUAUUGUAUUGUCACCGGGCCGUGACCGGGCCAACGGAGCAAUACAAUGAGAAACGACCAAAGUUUACCAUACCAUUUGGUAGAAAUAUCAGUAUUUAUAAAAUAGUUGAUUGGCUAUUGAAUAAAGUCGCUUGACUUUGGCGAUUUUAGUGUUUGCCACACCAUGAUGCUUGUGUGGCAUGGCAAAAACCAAAUGUACAACUGCUUUUCGCAGAUAUUUUCCUUCUAGUGGUUGGGAUAAAAUCCGUUGAUAAUUCAUUGUAUUAUACAAAUUAUUGAAUAUAAUCAAAUAAAUUACUAUCGAUUACAGCUAAACUGUAAUAUAGAUUACUGAUAUAUAUUAUAUAUAUGGAUACUGUUAUUAUAGAAAUUACAUAGAUAUAACCUAUAAUACAAAAUACGGUUUUUGUUAAAAAUACAAAAUUAUAAAUGUUUCGAUUCUUGGAUGCAGUGGCAUAUGUGUGGCUGGCAAGGGGGUAACUUGCCCCCUGACACUUUUGUGGGGAUCAAAGAUAUCAUUUUGCCUUUCCAGAUAAUUCAACAGUAUAAAUCUUUGAAUCUUCCUAAGUUAAGAAAGAAUGCAAUAUAUUCACCAAAUAUAAAAUAUGUGUAAAUAGUAUUUAUACUAUAGUUACUUUUAGAUUCUGAGCGAAGCGAGUAUCAUUGUAUGAUGUUAAUUUUGUUUUAUCUGUAAACAAUAAUUCUACUAGAAAUCUUACUCCGAUUUUCAAGUGUAGUACUAUCUUUUCUAAAAGGAAAUUUGACUGGGGUGAUACUUUAAGGAGGUAAUUUUUUAAUUUGUGCAGCUCUUUUCAUAAUAAAUUGGAAAUCCCAAGAAAAACAUGUGAAAAACCGGAAAAUAUACGAAAUCGUAUAAUUAUAAUAUCGUAAAUAUUACAGCCUUUUAAAAGAACUCCGCUCAGAAUCGUGUUUCGUUAGCAAAGAUUAAUCGUUGUGUACAGAUAUACAUUAAAUUCCUCUCUAUGAUAUCAUAUCUUCUUAACUUUUCACUCACAAGUUACAACAGUGGCCUAUCUAUUAUGCAAAACAUCUCCGUAUCUUUUUUUCCUUGUAGCCAAUUAAGUAGGUAAACCAUAAAUAAAAAAAUUAAUUAUUCAAAUAAUUGCUAGGUUUUCCAAAUUAUUAAGAAAACUAUAAGGAAAUAUAAAAAAUGACCUCAAUGCACUAACCACAUAAAAAACAGUACAUACAAAUUCCUAUUAAGUUUUUGAUAAGAACAACAUUACUAGUAAAUAUUAUUGUUAGAAAAGUUGUUUAUAGACUCAAAAAAAAAAAUUAGAAUAGUAUUCGAAUUUUGAAUACUCUUCAACUCAUUUUUACGAAUACGUAAUCCGAAAAUUUAAAUAUCAUUAAAGUAACAAUUAAUAUGUUUGAUUUCAGAAUAUAUCUAUUUUUAAAUUUAAAUUAGCAAUUCGUUGCUUUAUAAUAAUAUUUUACAUUCUAAUGUAUUGCGCGAUGUUUUUUAAUAGUUAUUAAUUUUUCAAUUUUUUUCUAUUAAGAGUAAAGAGUAGAGUUUAGAUUUAUAUAGGGCUUAGAAGUAAAGGUUACUAUUUUCACUUCUAAAGUUUUAUAUUCUGUAUUACUAUGGUGAUAUUUUGGUCACCAAAAUUAUUUCAUGUCUAUUUGUUAAUAUGUUAAUAUUCCGAGUACAAAAAUAGUAUCUCGUGGGGCGAUUAAUGAAUAUCAUUUAAUUAUUUUUAUUGUUCGUAUAAAGUGUGAUUUGCUGUAAAAUUUGUGCUCGUCUCGUUUUGUUGGCACUUUUUCAAAAGACAAAACAAAUUCAACAAACAAGUUUACUGUACGUAUACGAUCAUUAUAUUUUAUAACAGUCUGCGGAUAUUAUUAAUUUAUAAAUAUUACUAAAUAACUCGUGUUUUCUAAAAUAGUUAAAUUAAUUUAAUUUCGUACCUAUAUAUUCAUCAUCCCGUACUAUACGUACAACACUAGUAUAAGUUUUUUUUUUUAUUUAUUCUCCUACACGAGUAUUGUUACAGACCGUGUCAUACUUUCACCUAUUUUAUACUUUGUAUUAUCACUGUAUAUGUUCUGCGUUGUAUUAAAAUCUUAAUAUAUAAAAUAAUACAUAAAACCGCAUGAUUUAUACGAAUUCGGACUAUAUAAAUAUUAUUUUUAAUAUUUCGGACAAGGUAUAUAAUACUCGUAAUAUCUGUCGUGUAAUCCGAAACCCACAAGAAAACUCUACAAGGCUCUGCUUUCUAUAAUGCGAAUUUAAACACUAAAUACUAGUUCGCACUGUAGUCAACAAUCAACAGUAUCAAAUUAAAAAAAAAAAAAUAAUAAUAAUUAUUGUUAUAAUGUGUGAUGAACGCUAUUUGAACAUUAAAAUGUUGGGGGUAUUUAUGAAAAGUGUUGACAGUUACUAUAUUAUCACAUACGAGUACAGCAACAACAAGUAGGUAUUAACAAUAAUCAUGAGUAUAAGCGAAAAUUUAGUAAAUAUAUUUUCUCUAGAUUUAUUCUGACCGGCAUUAUAAAUUACCAUCAGAUAAAAAUAGUUUGUGUAUAACACUACUGUUGUAGUUUGAACAUCUAAAAACGUGACAAAUUACAGGAUUUCAGUACAAAGUUCAAGUUCGAUUUGACGAAUGCAACAAGUUUUGUUUUGUUCGAUAUUAAUUUUAUUUUUAUAAUUAUUUAUUAUGGUCUCGCGCUAUAAUUGAAAUAUUAUAAAAAACAAAUAUGAGGGCUCAAAUUGAUAGUGUAGCAAACGGUACCGUUAAUAUACAGUAACCUGUUCAAGCGCAGGGGGGGGUGGUGCACGGGGUCAUCGAAUUCGAUUCCCGGAGCCCGUUCGUCGUGCGUCUGUUUUCGAAACAGUAUAAGGUCAGAAAUUUGAAACGUACCUAAUUACAAACAAUAAACAAUAAAACAAUAAAACAAUAAAUAAAUAUAAUUUGUUUUAUAGCUUAUUAAUUUAUUCGGUUAUUCAUUUACUAUCUAGAUUUAUAUAUACAUAUAUAUUUUUUUUUUAACAUUAUUCAAUUUAUUUAUUUAUUUGCUUACAUUAUAUCCGUUGAUUUCUAGACUUGACUUUUUUUUCCCAAUAAAUCACAAUGAUGCUAACAUAACAGCAAAACGUGCCAUAUUUGUCAAAUGUAUAAUAUUUUAUGUCUAUGACGUUUUGCGCGAUGGCUUAAACCAGAGCUCAAAGCUCAAACAUUCGAAAACUAAACUGAUUUCGGAAACCUGCAGGGGUCUUUUAGUUUUGUGUAGGUCGUAUUUUGAGUAGUAGUUAAAUUGUGUUAAGCUAUGUACUUUUAAUAAACUUUGUAAAACGUAAUGCAAUCACAUCAACAGGUAUAUUCCAUUAUCAUUAUCAUUAUUAUUAUUUUAGACUUUGAGCGUAAAGAGGGAUGUUCAUUUUAGAUAUUAGUUUUACUAGGGCGUGUGUGUUUUUUAUUUAUUAUUUAUUUUGAAGACAUUAAAAUAUAAUAAUACGAUAUUAAGUGCUUUUCAUCGUUAUGUUAAGUAUUCGUAAAAAAUACAGAUAAACUCCACCACGUCUUCGUCGACAUAUGGAUCAAUUUUUCACCCCAUCCACGUAUAAUAUAAUUAAUGGUUAUAAUUUUGUGUAUUGGAGAAAUUUGAGGUUUUCUGUAUACGUAACGGUAGUUUAAAGACUUAUAAUUUCUAUACGAGAUGAGAAAAGUAAUGUGGCUGUAUUUAUGUACCUAUACUAAACGAUGUACUCAAUAAGAUGACUCGAUUUUCAAUAAAAGUUUGAAACAAUAAUUAUUUGCAGGCAUUAGUUUUAUACAAUUUAUACAAUUGAGUUAUAUUAUUGAUGGAAGCAUAGUUUAAUACAUUUUAGACGAUAGUGUUAUACAGCUUUCUUCGUUUCGUAUAAACAGAAAUAAUAAUUAUAAGUCACACUAAAUGGCUAAUCUGUUGCCUUACAUAGAAAACUAGGAGUUUCUCUAUAAAAAAUAAUAGAAAACGAUUAUUCGCGCGACUGGUCGUUCCUAGUUAACAAGCACACAUACUAUAUAGGUGGAUAGGUAUGUCCGAGUGAAAAGCAUCAUUCAGUAAACGACAGUGUAUUUUUAUAUAGGUAUCCAUCACACACAGUCAGGUAUCCAUUGCAUAGUCCUUGAAAAAAAAAAAAACAGCACACCUGUGUAUACAAUAUUUUUUAUACGUGGGUAUAGUGGUAUAAGUAGGUGCUUAUAUAUACUCUCUCGACGAGAGUUUCGGCAAGUUAUAUGGCCUCUUGGUCGACACGCGUGAUGUGGUACAGUAUUCUCGUACGAGUUUGUCGAGCAAUUACUGAGUUACGUUUUGUUACUUGUAUCUUUUAUAUUAUUUAUAAAUAACUUGUAUCUUAUUCUGCAUUCGAAUGCGUUAUUUCUCACGUAACUUCUUGCUCAGUCUUUCGUUAAGACACUUCUUAUACUUCCGAUAACUGUUCACAUUGUAUGAAACAGAUUUAAUUUAAUCUCGAAAAGCGAAAUAUUACGAUUAGAGACCGGAUUUCAUGCAGUUUAAAAUGCUGAGAAUAAAAUGUUUUCUAUAUUUUUAUCGACAUUUUCAUUUAUAAAUAUACUACAUUCGUAUAUGCAUUUAUAAUAUUUUAUACUUUGUGUGUAGUGUGUGUCUAUAUAGUAAAUAUGUGCAACUCUAUCGAGUGUACUUGAAAUAAAAAUAACAAACUUAAAAGAAAAACAAAUAAAAACAAUCGAAAUUAUACCCAUAUAGAAUAUUAAUAAAUUAAGGAAUAAAACGUUUUAAUGCCUAAAUUUGUAUGUAUUCUUGUUUGUUGGUAUGCAUUAUGUACCGAUGAGUUUACAGCAUAGACUAUAUAACGUGGGCGUACAACUAUUGUCGUUGUGGUCGAAUGGUAUGCUUUUUCCUACAAAGCGCGGGGAUCGAAAAUUUGAAACCCGACGGAGUUGAGCAUUUUUUUCUAUUGUUUGUAACAAUUCGUGUUUUACAGAAUUUACUAAAAUCUAAAUACGUGUGCUUAAAAAAUACCACCGUAGUAUCCGAAUUAUUCCGUAAUCGUGAAAUAUUAAUUUUUUUUGUAAGCGGUACAAAGUUUCGUAUAUUAGUUCGUUGACCAAUGAACCCCCGAUAUGAAAGCUCGCCCGAUUAUAGCUGCACAACCUCCGCAGUUGAAACAUCUAAUUAGAUGUUUUAACUAAGCGUAAUUACACUUAAAAAUCUCGUCUCGAUAAUAUAUUAUAUUAUAUUUAAUAUUGAAAAUAUUGAAUAUUUUUUUUUUUUAUAAUUUUCCAAAAGUGUACAUUAUAAUAACAUUAUAAAACUGUGUCUCGUUUGGUAUUCAACUCUUGUCCACGUCGAGGCGCUAGCCGUGCGUGUUGCGUUAGUCACCGCCGUAUAAUGUCACGCGCGCGUACACCCGUUUUGUCUAGCCUAUAAAUAAUAGAGUAUUUUAAACUCGAUAUACUUAAAUAUACAUUUACAUCAUCGAAUCCUUUACGCAGUAAACGAUUAAUAAAUAUUAUUACGUAUAUUACACCGUCGUAAAAAUGCGCACUUUCGCCAUAAAACGAUAUUUAAAUGCCAAGGUUAAGGCAUUUUGCUUCUAUAAAACACCAUAGGAGAUACCUAUAUUUAAGAACAUCCUUUUGGCAUAUGCCAUGCGAUUCGCCGGCAUUUUUUUUUUUAAUAAUAACUAUCGAAUGAUUAUACUGUUUUUCUGCGGAACCAUGGUCGUCGGCGGUUUUAUUUUAUUAUUAUUAUUUUUUUCGUAUCUUUAUUAUAAAUUUCAUUAGAAGUUUCUUAUAAAUACUAUAUAAUAUAGGUACGUAAUUUAAAUUUAAUAUUUGAAUAUAUUAUGCAAUACAUUUCUACUGAUCACGUUUGGCAGCAGUUUAUUGGACCGAAAAAGUAAUCACAAUGUGUAGAUAUAUUUCCCCCGAACUCUUUGUAGAUUUUCUGACGGAAAUCGCCGGAUUUCCGAUAAGAAAAAUGAGUUUGUAACCAAAAUAUCCUUUAAAGUUAAUACGAAUGAAAUAUGUGUGAUAAUUGAGUUUGUAAAAUUGAGUAAGUGAAUAAUAAUUGAUUACUUACCUCGCAGUGUUUACCGAUAAUAUAUACCACGAAACGGUGUUGUAUAUUGUUUAAACAGAUUGGACUUCCAUUAAUGUUCUUCCAACCGUGUAAAAAAUUAACGAUUUUCUAUACCCAGUAAAUAAAUUCACAAUUUAUAUUUUACGACCCGUGUAAUCUGACGGUUACUCUUUAAUGGAUAUAUGCUACGGAUUUAUUCAAUACCAAUAUUGCCUCGCCGUUUGUAUACAAUUAUUAUUAUUCUAUUCGAUAUUUUCUACACCGUAAGAAAUUAUAAGUGCUCAUAAAUCAUAAUAUGGUUUUAUAAAUAAACGUGCAUUUUUAACACAUUCGUAUUAUACGCAAACAUUUUAUUUUUACAUUUCGAACAUAUUUUAUUCGCGUGCAUUCGUUCAGUGGGUAGAAAUAGCAACGAGUUGAUAUUUCCUAGCCGACGGAUCACGAAUGUGUUUAUACAUUGGGUAUCUAGUUUUUAUAACGAACCUACAGUGACGUGAACAAGUAUUUACUACCGGAAGGGGGGAGGAGAGGAAAUUUAGUAAACAAUAAUCAUCAUUCAUGAAUAAAUCGUAGAAUAUUCUUCCGUUGUUAAUCCGACAAUCAUGGGAAUUUAAAAGCCAAACCCCAGAUAUAACAAUUUUUAUUCAAUAAAUUAGGCUUUUUUUCUCCCCAUGUAAUUUGAUUAAAAUACACAAUUUCAAGAUAAAAUGUCCAAAUAAAAACAUUAGCAGUGCUUGUAUUUUUUAAUCCAAUGGGGAUUUAACUCCUAUCCGUUGCGAGCGCCACCGUGUUUGUCUUUUUCGUAGACUAUACAACGUAUACGUAUAAUACUAUCGUCGACUGCAUUAUAAUCUAAUCAUUCGUUCUAAACCUUUUUUUCAACUGUUAUGUUACGGGUAUAGUUUUUUGUUUUUGUUUCAAAUAAAAUAAAUCAACAAAUAAAUACAUCAUCCGUCUAAUGCCCGAAUGACCGACAUAAAAACGUAUAAAUAAAAUCUGCGUUUAUUCGAUAAGUUCGGAUUAUAAUGAUAUUUUAAUUAUUGUUUUAUAUUUGUAAAUUAUUAGGUGAAAAUGUUUCGUUCGACUGUAAUACUAAAUGCCCAACCGUUUUAGCAUUGGGAGAGUACCUAUUGUAAUCCACCCGGGUCAAUACGUGACCUACCCGACACAAUUAUGGUAUCCUGCCUAAUACGCGAUUUAUCGCCGGUAAACUAUGAUAAUAAUAUUAUCUAGUGUAAAUAGAUUAUGACGUUAUGUACACAUUAUUUAUUUUAAAAAUGCGUAAUAAAAUAUUAUUGAUAUUAUUAUUUCAUAUGACUAGGUCAGAUAUUUAUAUGCCCUAAAAAUGUAUGCUAAAACUAUGCUGCUUUCCUGUAAAAAUUACCGAACAUUUCUAAACUAACACUACAAUUACCCGUUAAAAAAAUAUUGAAUAAAUAAAAUUAUAAUUUUUAAAUUUUUUAAAUAUGUUUUAUUGUUUUACAAAAAAAAUACGAUAAAAAAUAAAAUGAACUAAAAAAUAUUUUAUUUAAAACAUUGGAAUUAAAGUUAGCAAUACUCGCAAGCUGAUAUUUAUAAAUCUUUAACUAUUUUCGGUUUGUAGAGUUGAAAAUGUCUUAAACAUGUAUAAAAUCUUUAAACGUGAUUUAAAACUUUACAAAAUCUUAAAGUAUGCUUUAAAAAUGCAAAAAUACCAAAAUAUUUAAAUAAAAUUAUUAGGCUAUAACCCAUUUUAUUAUAAGCUAGAUAUUUUUCUGAAGAACCAAUAAAUUAUGCAAAAGCAUAUAAGUAUUUGCCUUAAUUAUUAUGACUGGCUAUAAAACGAAACGCUAUUAGGCAAUAACUCUCUCAAUUUUUUUUUUGACCCAACGUUUGAUACUCCCAAUUGGGCCAUUUAUUCUAAAAGUUACAAUGUCUUCUAAUAUUAUUAUAUAAAUCCAAAUGCGAAAUUGGUAAAAAAUUUUCCAAAUUAUAGCUCCGUCGGCGUAUCUACGGCCACCUGCAUUCAUUCGCUUCCCGAGCUCACGUCCAAAAUAACCCUAGAUUUGCUAUGUAAAACUUAAUCUAACUUCUGAAAAUUUUUUUGUCCAAAAAUGUAAAGAAACACAGUACAUUGGACUAUAAAUAAUUUGAGAAGGAUUCAAUCGCUCCACCGAGGCACCGUCACACCGUUUUAAUCAUGGAAAAACAAACUUGUUUCUCAAAUUUUAAAACAAUUUUAUCAGAAGUUUUACACGAUAUUUCGGGGUAGUCUAAAUUUCGUGAAAUAAACUUGGAACUGAAAUGUAACGAAGAUGUUCACCGUCACUUAUUCAUGGACGUUUAUUCUUGGUAUCGAUCAGCGAUUGGUUAUUGCAAAUAUUAACCGAGAAGAUUAUUAGACUGAGUGUAUAGAAUAUGUAUUUUUCUAGGAAAAUACUUUUUCUGUUACCAAAAAACCAAUUUUUCAUACCGUAAAUAAAAAAAAAUGUGGAUUUCUUGCGCUGUAGUACUUCAUUCGAAACAUUUUUGUAGAUUCCUAACAGAUGUUAAAAUAAUCAAGGGUUUGACGAUACAUCGGAUUAUUUUUAUUGAUUUCUGUGGGUCGGCUUGAUUAUGAUAAGGGAGAAAACAUGAUAGUAAUGCAAUAAAACUCUACCGAACUCCGCUCAGAAACGUUUUCCGAUUAUUGCAAUGCUUUAUCGUGGAUUUUAGUGGGUAUAUAAGCUAAAUUACCCUAUACAUAUUCUACAUAAUGAAAUAUAAUUCAAAUUUUCCACCUACAACAGUGAUGACCCGCACCCGGGUGCGAAGUUUUUCCCACUUCUUUUAUGAAUGCUAUUAAAUGGAUAUUACAAUAUUAUUAAUUACUGUAAAUAAUUAAAAUUUUUUUUUUUAACUUGGUAUAUCCUAUAUUAUAUAGGUUGUAAUUAUCUUUUUAAUAGUUUUCUAAUAGCUUUUCAUAUAUAGAUUAAAAGGAAAAAGAAUUUCACAAAGAAACGUUCAUUAUAAUUGCUAUCGCAUAAUCAAGGUAGGUCACGUUAACUAGAGCCUAUGUAUCUGCGCGACGAGAUACAAUAUUUUACUAUUUUCACCGUGUCGUGAGACUCUUCUAUUAGAACGUACAACGAGAAUUUACACAUUUUUAGUAACAGAUACAUAUUAUAGUGUAUAGAUAUAGACGAUAUAAUGAAUACCUUUUAUUAUAACGUGAAAAAUACAGAUUUAACUCGUCAUAGUAUUUAAAAGUACACUCGUAUAACAUGUACUUAUUUAAAAAUGUAAAACUGAUUUAAAACUACAAGUUUGGUCAAAAGAUUUAAGAUAACAUUUUUUUUAUACCAGCAUUCGUCAUACAUUGUUAUCUAUCAGUAUUAAACAUACGAGUACAGGUAAUUUUUUUGAAUUAAUCAGCAAACUUUUAAAAUUAAAAUCAUUUUUAAACGUGUACCUAUAGAUAAUUUUAUACUUUGAGUAUAGGGAAGAAACUUUUGGUUGUAUAAAUACUUUAGUUUUUAAUUAUUUAUUCAUUCUGUUUCCCGUUAUCAAACAGUGUAAUAUUAUUUUGAAAGUGGUGAUGUAUGAGUAUUUUGUGAUGGGAAAUUUUUAAAUUAUUCAUUUUUGGAAUUUGGAUUAGUGUUUUUUUUUUUGCUGUACACUAUACCUAUUCAUUUUCUAAUAAUUUCGGGCACGUGUAGUAUUUUAAAUUUCUUUUUUUUUUUUACUGUUUUCUCAAUUUUUCAAUAUUUGAAUAAACUGUAAAUCAUAAAAAAAAAAAAAAUUAAAAACUCUUGAAAAUAUUAUUACGUUAAACCAUUUCAAAGUCCAGUAACAAAAAUGAAUUACAAUAAUAAUUUUUAACGACAUUUUUAUAUUAGUCUAAUUCUAUAAAAUACGUGUCGAGUUUGACUAAAGUAUUUAUUGCUAUUCGUGAAAUUCUAUUAUUUUUAUCAAUUUGUGUAAAUAUAGGUACACUAGUUUUUCAAUAUACAAAUAAUUUACAAUAAUAUAUUUUAUUUGGUCUCAGGGAUAAAGGGCUUUAGUCAAUUCUGUAAAGUUUUCAAUAAAAGCAAAUUAAAUUUUAAAUAUUGUUUAUGGACAUAGGUAUGAUGUUAUCAUUUUCUAAACGGCCAAACCAAAAAUGGUGUAUAAUUCUACGCCAUGUCUUUUUGCUAAACAGAAAGUACGCCUGUAGUGACUUGAGAUACUUUAAUUUUCGGUAUAAAAUUAGCUAGAGCAUGCAUACACAUGUGCCAUUUAGACCGAAAAACAAACGGACACAAAUUACACAAAUAAACGCUAUAAUACAUUCCCUCGCGCCCUUUUUUCCUGAGAUCAAAGAUAUAAUACAUUUAGUGUUUCUUAUCAAAUAUAUUGAUUGCUCGUUCCCGUGGCUUCUUUAAAACAGUACUGAAAAGUGUCAUACGUGAUGUGGAUGAUGUUCAUUCAUAUUGUUAGUUUUUGUUGUUUAUAUAAAAUUUAGGAUUAGAAAAUAUGUUUGUUUUAAAAUCAUUAAUAGUCUUCAACGGGUCUUCAGCAUCCUUUGUCUAGACUCUAGGUUAUCAACAUAUUUAUUUAUUUUUUUUUUUUCUGACGAUUUCGAUCGUUUCAGUAUUCUCGGCAACGAUUGUUAUUUUUGUAACCAAAUUACAGACAUCGUAAUCGACUGUAUUCAAUUCUCAAAUAUUACAGUGUAAUAGAACCAAUUUCGUUUGUCAGAAUCGAGGCGACGCGUUUAAAAAUGAAACUUUCCCCUCCCCCGCAAACCGUUCGCCUCGUUCCGAAAACAGUGUAAUAUAGAAACGAAUUUAAUUUUGUUUUCUUUUUUUUUUUUUUCCAGAGGAAUUUGCCCUUCGCUCGGAAUGUAUCGGUCGGUGCGGCCGGCAGCUUCGGUCGAUCCAGCGGCGAUGGCGGCGGCGGCGGCAGUGGUGACGGGAUGCAUUUUGAAAACCACGUUCUAAAUAUAAAAUCACCAACGGACAGCGGAGCGAAGACGUGGUGGCGAUCGCGGUGGUGGGACGCAAACAGCGGCGACGGCGGUGGCAGAAGCAGCUGUUGUGCGCCGAGUGUAAAUUUUAAACCGCUCCGCCGGAGACAUUGAGUCGCGACGACGACGCGGAACGCGCGCACGAGAGACAAGGCAUUCUCGUCGCGUAGACAAUUUUCCGUUCGUUAUUUAAGAAGGAAGAGAAGAAAAUUCGCCGUUUUUUUCGUCGCGGUGCCCUCUGUAUGUUUUUGUUAUAGUGUUGCACAGGCAG
rnacentral:lncRNA from 1 species